AUUGCAACUGAUGAGUUGAUCCUGUCCCUUCCAAACUUAACAAACAAGUUUGCAUCUUUUAGAUUGGUUAUACCGAAGUGGUGUGAAAUAAUACAGUUCCAAAGAUCCCUAAGGCUAGUAUUUGGUUCCUAUCCAAACUUGUAUUCAGAUUCUUGGGUUUCUACUUCGGCAAACCCUAAACACCUUUUAUCUCAGCCCUUCAAAGUCAUUCUUUUCACUGAAUUUCCUAAUUUGAUAUAUCUUAAAUAUCCUGGCUACCUCUUCUAAGACUUCAUCUAGUCUUUGAUAAAAGUAUACCUUAUAUAUAGGUUUCGAGAAUACUGUCAAUAAAUGGUACUAUUCUAGGGUAGGUAACCAUACCAAGGUCUUCAAAGGAGAAGCAACAGUAUAAAGGGUCCUAAAAAUGGAUUAGGGCUUUAAUGAUUAGUUUUUGGAUAGGUCUGAUCCGUAAACGAAGAGGAGCAAAGGAAUGGAGAGAAAUUAAAGAUUGGCACCAUUCAUCCAGACCUUGGAAUAGGAGGAGCUGAAAGGUUAAUAGUUGAUGCUGCUGUUGAACUUGCAUCCCUUGGCCACAAUGUUCAUGUUCUUACAGCUCAUCAUGAUAAAAACCGAUGCCUCGAAGAAACUGUGGCUGCUCACCGGGUCUCUGUUGUCAUCCCACUGUGGAAACUUAAAAAAUCAAUGAAGGUGGUUUUUUACUGUCAUUUUCUGGAUUUGUUGCUGGCUCAACAUACAACUGUUCUCUGGAGGUUAUAUAGGAAACCCAUUGAUUUCAUAGAAGAAAUUACAACUGGCUGAAUUUUCUCUCGAUAAAUCGCUUUGAAAGGAAAAAGAACAUAGAGUUGACAGUUUCUGCCUUUGCCAGACUUCAUACACUUGCGGAACAUGCCCUUCAAAGUCAAAGUCUAACUGAAGCUACUUUGACCAUUG